rnacentral:misc_RNA from 1 species
GAUGAAGAACGCAGCGAAAUGCGAAAAGUAAUGUGAAUUGCAGAAUUCAGUGAAUCAUCGAAUCUUUGAACGCACAUUGCGCCCCUUGGUAUUCCAUGGGGCAUGCCUGUUCGAGCGUCAUUUGUACCUUCAAGCUCUGCUUGGUGUUGGGUGUUUGUCUCGCCUCUGCGUGUAGACUCGCCUCAAAAUAAUUGGCAGCCGGCGUAUUGAUUUCGGAGCGCAGUACAUCUCGCGCUUUGCACUCAUAACGACGACGUCCAAAAGUACAUUUUUACACUCUUGACCUCGGAUCAGGUAGGGAUACCCGCUGAACUUAAGCAUAUCAAUAAGCGGAGGA